rnacentral:rRNA from 1 species
GCUUGUCUCAAAGAUUAAGCCAUGCAUGUCUAAGUAUAAGCAUUAUACAGUGAAACUGCGAAUGGCUCAUUAUAUCAGUUAUAGUUUAUUUGAUAGUCCCUACUACUUGGAUAACCGUAGUAAUUCUAGAGCUAAUACAUGCACAAAAUCCCGACUUUUUGGAAGGGAUGUAUUUAUUAGAUACAACCGACCCCUCUGGGUUUUCGGUGAAUCAUAAUAACUGAGCGAACCGCAGGCGCAAGCGGCGGUGGUUCAAUCAAGUUUCUGCCCUAUCAGCUUUCGAUGGUAGGGUAUUGGCCUACCAUGGCGUUAACGGGUAACGGAGAAUUAGGGUUCGGUUCCGGAGAGGGAGCCUGAGAGAUGGCUACCACAUCCAAGGAAGGCAGCAGG